GAUGAACGCUGGCGGCGUGCCUAAUACAUGCAAGUCGAGCGAACGGACGAUAAGCUUGCUUCUCUGAUGUUAGCUGCUUACGUGUGAGUAACCCUUGGAUAACCUACCUAUAAUCCUGUUAUCACUUCGGGAAACCGGAGCUAAUACCGGAUAAUAUUUUGAACCGCAUGGUUCAAAAGUGAAAGACGGUCUUUCUGUCACUUAUAGAUUUCUCCGCGCUGCAUUAUCUAGUUGGUAAGGUAACGGCUUACCAAGGCAACGAUGCAUAGCCGACCUGAGAGGGUGAUCGGCCACACUGGAACUGAGACACGGUCCAGACUCCUACGGGAGGAAGCAGUAGGGAAUCUUCCGCAAUGGGCGAAAGCCUGACGGAGCAACGCCGCGUGAGUGAUGAAGGUCUUCGGAUCGUAAAACUCUGUUAUUAGGGAAGAACAUAUGUGUAAGUAACUGUGCACAUCUUGACGGUACCUAAUCAGAAAGCCACGGCUAACUACGUG
rnacentral:rRNA from 1 species